CCCAGUGCAGAGCAUAUAGAAGAUACCCAGUAAAGAUUUCCUGCUUGGUGGAGUGAAAAAAAACACAGCCUUCACCUCUCAUUGCUUGACCGCUGGAAGAGCAUGGAGAGAUGAGACUUCAGUGAGCUUCUAUUCCAAGACUUUGGGGAAAAAGUUCAGAUGGGUGACACAGAGACAGAGACGAGGACUCACGGCUCCAAUCUAACCAUGGCACACGCUGCGUUCUCCUUCUGGAUUGAUGGCUCUUCCUCUUGGUUUUGGAAAACAGCAUUUAUACAGUACUUGAGACCACAUUCUUCUCCAUGUGUUGGCAGAGAAGCCUGGCCCAUAGAAAAAUCUCCAGCUUGCUUGCAGACCAAAAUCCAAAUGGAUUGUGGGGCUUUUUGUUGUUGUUGUUGUUUUGGGGGGGUGCACUUGCGGCAUAUGUAGGUUCCCAGGCUAGAGGUUGAAUCGGAGCUACAGAGCUGUAGAGAGCUAUAGCUGCCAGCCACAGCCACAGCAAUGCAGGAUCCGAGCCACAUCUGCGACCUACACCGCAGCUCAGAGCAACACCGGUUCCUUAACCUACUGAUCAAGGGCAGGGAUCAAACCCACUACCUCAUGGUUACUACUCAGAUUCAUUUCUGCUACACCACAACAGGAACUCCCCUCCCCCCCUUUUUUAGGAAAAGAUAAAUGUUAAAGUGAAGCACCCCAACCAACAUUUUUCCCUGUAGGACAAAAUGAUGGCAAAUGAGCAAGAAUUCAGGAGCAGAGCAAAAUGGAGAAACUGGCUGAAGACAGAGCAGGAAAGUUAAAGAGGUAUAAAGAUGGACUGAGAGCUUUUAAGUGAAUCAAAAAAAAUAAAGGGAAUUUAAAGGUUGUUCUUGGGAGCUCC
rnacentral:lncRNA from 1 species